AGCUUUGCGCAGUGGCAGUAUCGUAGCCAAUGAGGUUUAUCGGAGGCGCGAUUAUUGCUAAUUGAGAAUUGAGGAGUCAUAUAAAAACAC
ensembl:snRNA U4 U4 spliceosomal RNA